UCGUAAGCGGCUUUUGUCGCAGAACCCUCUGCACGCGGAAGAUUUAGUUGCAGUUGAAGAUUUAGUUAGCCAGAGAUGGAUGAAAUAGAAAGUGUUACGAAAGUGAAUGAUCUUGAUGAUGACACGGAGCAUCAUCAUGGCGGUUUAUUUCACGUGAAUCUUCCUUGGAUAACGACCGUCGUUGUUCUCAUUGCUGUAGUUCUUUUUGUGUAUCUGUAUGUGAAAAUCAGUCGUCAUAUGUCAAACAGAGCAAAACAGAAACGAUUAUCAAAGAGACAACUUAAUUUGUCUAACUUGGAAAGUGGAGAGAAUUUAUGACAUAAUCAAGAUGGAGGAUGCGAACCAAAACAGAAUAUCGAUAAUACCCAUAGUGGUUCAUGACUUGUCCAAUGUCGAAGAUUUUGCCAUAAAAUAAACUGUAAUUAUGACUUUAAUAAUUAAAAAUUCAUGAAGUCUGACAUCCUGAUCUGAUAUACUGAAUUUAUAUUAAUUUUCAUUGGAAAUCGUCCCAGUUUGGCUCGAUAAAUAUUAAAACAGCGGCGACAUAAGUGCAUAAUCUUCGGAUUUUAUACCACCAAAAUUUGAUUUUGUAUUAAUGAAUAAUUCACCAAAAAAAUAUAUGAAACUGGCAUAAAAAAACAGUUAAUUUUUUUUUAGUUCUUGCCUAUGUAUUCGAAAAAGUUCAAAUGUGGCUUCUAAUAAGAGUUGUGAAUAACAAUUUUGAAGUAGAUGUUACAAUAUAUUGAUGUUCUGAACCGGUAUAUAAAUGUUCAUCUUCGUCAAAUAAUAUUAAUCUCUCUGAUAUGGAGAGAGCGUAUGAUUGAUUUUGAGGCAAACGAAAAUGAAAGAUGCAUUCGUGCAGAGCCGAGGCACGCUGACGAAUUUCGACGUAACGAAUUGAUAACUCAAGUAUACCAACAUCUUUAAGCAUUAAGUGUUCUAGUAUAUCGUAAAUAGAAUAUAAGUUCGCUAAGAUUGUGAUUUGCAAUAAAGCAGUAUAUAAACUUGUAUUCCGGUCGAAAUUAACGUCUGGCAACCAACAAACGGUAUAUUCGUGAGAGUGUGUGUAUAAUUGCAUAGAUGAGUAUUCUUUUAUUGUAGUGUGUGUAUUAAAUAAUAACAAAUACUGAAUCGUGAAUUUUUUUCAUAUUUGCUAAUUAAAUUUCUUAUAUAUAGCGAAUUUAAAUUGAUAGUAAAUACACUGGAAUCAAUUAUAAUGAAUGGCUGAAUAAAUUGGUAAAAUCAUUCAAUGCUUGCAUUUGAUUGCAUUAUAUCUUACUUCUGAUCUAGUAAUAACAGUUGAUAAAUAUAGAGGUUUCUAAUAGUUGGAGUUACAAAAGACUAACUUACUCAGCUUUUAUGUCUUGGCGCUGGUGGAUCCGUAUGUGCAUAAUGCAAGGAUGAUGUAACAAGAUUGAAAAUGACUAUAUGUAAUUCCAGAGUCUUUCUACACACUAACUAAAAUGUAUUUUUGUUGCGACAAGAAUCACAAAAGAUGAUUAAAGUCUGUAAGCCGAUUGAUAUCUGAUUCUUUCUCUGAAUGAUUCUUGCUUCAAACCUAUUUUUAGAUUCUGCUGCAUCCUCUUUGUGGAAUUGAAAUAAUUCAAUACAAGAAUACUACAAGAUAUCUUCCCAAAGUAAAUUUGUAAUAAAUGACUGAUCGAUUAAAAGGUUAUAAGCAAAGUUUUAAAAUUAACGUAAGCCCACAACAUUUACUAUCCGCUGUACCAGAUAUUCAGUAAAGUUAUAAAGCAAGAAGGAUUAUAUACUGCCAAAUAUGCCCGACUGCAAAAAUACGAUCAUGCAAUUUUAUUUGGAAACGUUGUUGCAGGUUCAGCUCAAUGAACAUUUAUGCAUUUUGUCAAAAACGAAUAAUACACAUGUAGAAGUUGAAUGUAAAUUGAAGCAAGCUGUGACUCGAUUUUUUUUAUAUUUUUUCUUGAAGCACAGAAAUGGGCACCAGAACUGAUUCAAAUAAAGGACCUCAUGACGUGUGUACACCAAGAUUGCGCACAACCUGAACAUAGUAUGUUUACCAGGUUAGGGUUCAGGUGGUGCGCCAUCUUGGUGCACAUACUUCGGGAGCGCCCACAUGAACCGAUUUUAUUGCGUCAGUCAUCUUUAGCGUCUC